UACGGGGGGGGUAAGCGUUGUUCGGAAUUACUGGGCGUAAAGGGCUCGUAGGCGGCCAACUAAGUCAUACGUGAAAUCCCUCAGCUUAACUGGGGAACUGCGUGUGAUACUGGAUGGCUUGGAUUUGGGAGAGGGAUGCGGAAUUCCAGGUGUAGCGGUGAAAUGCGUAGAUAUCUGGAGGAAUACCGGUGGCGAAGGCGGCAUCCUGGACCGACAUUGACGCUGAGGAGCGAAAGCCAGGGGAGCAAACGGG
rnacentral:rRNA from 1 species